GUGAAUCAUUGAAUCUUUGAACGCAAAUUGCACUGUUGGGUAUUGCGGAGAGUAUGCCUGUUUGAGGGUCAGAUUACAUAAAAAUCGGUGUGGUUGUUGCCUUUCGUGGUGACGUACCGUUUUUGGGUCGUGUUGCCUUGGGUUAAGUGAGCUAAAAUCUUGAAUGAUUUUUUUCGAACGUUUUUAAAUGAAUUUAAGUUUGUUUGUGAUAUCGAAUACUAGGUGUGGUCAUCGUUAUGAUUCGCGUAUAUAAUUUUUCAUCAAAAUGAC
rnacentral:misc_RNA from 1 species